UACGAAGGGGGGCUAGCGUUGCUCGGACUCACUGGGCGUAAAGCGCACGUAGGCGGCUUUCUAAGUCGGGGGUGAAAUCCUGGAGCUCAACUCCAGAACUGCCUUCGAUACUGGAAAGCUCGAGUCCGGGAGAGGUGAGUGGAACUGCGAGUGUAGAGGUGAAAUUCGUAGAUAUUCGCAAGAACACCAGUGGCGAAGGCGGCUCACUGGCCCGGUACUGACGCUGAGGUGCGAAAGCGUGGGGAGCAAACAGG
rnacentral:rRNA from 1 species